rnacentral:tRNA from 1 species
CGCGGGGUGGAGCAGCUCGGUAGCUCGUUGGGCUCAUAACCCAAAGGUCGCAGGUUCAAAUCCUGCCCCCGCUA